GGAUUAGAUACCCUGGUAGUCCAUGCCCUAAACGAUGUCUACUAGUUGUCGGGUUUUAAUUAACUUGGUAACGCAGCUAACGCGUGAAGUAGACCGCCUGGGGAGUACGGUCGCAAGACUAAAACUCAAAUGAAUUGACGGGGGCCCGCACAAGCGGUGGAGCAUGUGGUUUAAUUCGAAGCAACGCGAAGAACCUUACCAAAUCUUGACAUCCUCUGACCCCUCUAGAGAUAGAGUUUUCCCCUUCGGGGGACAGAGUGACAGGUGGUGCAUGGUUGUCGUCAGCUCGUGUCGUGAGAUGUUGGGUUAAGUCCCGCAACGAGCGCAACCCUUAAGCUUAGUUGCCAUCAUUAAGUUGGGCACUCUAAGUUGACUGCCGGUGACAAACCGGAGGAAGGUGGGGAUGACGUCAAAUCAUCAUGCCCCUUAUGAUUUGGGCUACACACGUGCUACAAUGGACAAUACAAAGGGUAGCGAAACCGCGAGGUCAAGCAAAUCCCAUAAAGUUGUUCUCAGUUCGGAUUGUAGUCUGCAACUCGACUACAUGAAGCUGGAAUCGCUAGUAAUCGUAGAUCAGCAUGCUACGGUGAAUACGUUCCCGGGUCUUGUACACACCGCCCGUCACACCACGAGAGUUUGUAACACCCGAAGCCGGUGGAGUAACCUUUUGGAGCUAGCCGUCGAAGGUGGGACAAAUGAUUGGGGUGAAGUCGUAACAAGGUAG
rnacentral:rRNA from 1 species